AGUAUUCUGGCGGGCAUGCCUGUUCGAGCGUCAUUUCAACCCUCAAGCUCAGCUUGGUGUUGGGACUCGCGGUAACCCGCGUUCCCCAAAUCGAUUGGCGGUCACGUCGAGCUUCCAUAGCGUAGUAAUCAUACACCUCGUUACUGGUAAUCGUCGC
rnacentral:rRNA from 1 species